rnacentral:rRNA from 1 species
AUUGAACGCUGGCGGCAUGCUUUACACAUGCAAGUCGAACGGCAGCACGGGUGCUUGCACCUGGUGGCGAGUGGCGGACGGGUGAGUAAUACGUCGGAACGUAUCCAGAAGAGGGGGAUAACGCAUCGAAAGAUGUGCUAAUACCGCAUAUUCUCUGAGGAGGAAAGCAGGGGAUCGAAAGACCUUACGCUUUGGGAGCGGCCGAUGUCUGAUUAGCUAGUUGGUGGGGUAAAGGCCUACCAAGGCGACGAUCAGUGGUUGGUCUGAGAGGACGACCAGCCAUACUGGGACUGAGACACGGCCCAGACUCCUACGGGAGGCAGCAGUGGGGAAUUUUGGACAAUGGGCGCAAGCCUGAUCCAGCAAUGCCGCGUGAGUGAAGAAGGCCU